rnacentral:rRNA from 1 species
CCCUUAGAUGUCCUGGGCCGCACGCGCGUUACACUGAUGCAUUCAACGAGCUUAUAACCUUGGCCGAGAGGCCUGGGCAAUCUUGCUAACGUGCAUCGUGAUAGGGAUAGAUUAUUGAAAUUAUUAAUCUUGAACGAGGAAUUCCUAGUAAACGCAGAUCAUCAAUCUGCAUUGAUUACGUCCCUGCCCUUUGUACACACCGCCCGUCGCACCUACCGAUUGGAUGGUCCGGUGAAGCCUCGGGAUUGUGGUUCUUGCCGCUUUAUUGUGGCGUGACCGCGAGAACUUGUCUAAACCUUAUCAUCUAGAGGAAGGUGAAGUCGUAACA